UACGGAAUGUGCAAACGUUAUUCGGAAUCACUGGGCUUAAAGAGUCCGUAGGCGGCAUGUUAGGUGAGGUGUGAAAUCCCCCGGCUCAACCGAGGAAUUGCGCUUCAAACCGGCGUGCUUGAGGAAGAUAGAGGUGGGCGGAACUGAUGGUGGAGCGGUGAAAUGCGUUGAUAUCAUCAGGAACACCGGAGGCGAAGGCGGCCCACUGGGUCUUUUCUGACGCUGAGGAGCGAAAGCCAGGGGAGCAAACGGG
rnacentral:rRNA from 1 species